AUUGAACGCUGGCGGCAUGCUUUACACAUGCAAGUCGAACGGUAACAGGCCUUCGGGCGCUGACGAGUGGCGAACGGGUGAGUAAUGCAUCGGAACGUGCCCAGUCGUGGGGGAUAACUAUCCGAAAGGAUAGCUAAUACCGCCUACGAUCUGCGGAUGAAAGCGGGGGACCUUCCGGCCUCGCGCGAUUGGAGCGGCCGAUGUCAGAUUAGGUAGUUGGUGGGGUAAAGGCUCACCAAGCCAACGAUCUGUAGCUGGUCUGAGAGGACGACCAGCCACACUGGGACUGAGACACGGCCCAGACUCCUACGGGAGGCAGCAGUGGGGAAUUUUGGACAAUGGGCGCAAGCCUGAUCCAGCAAUGCCGCGUGCAGGAAGAAGGCCUUCGGGUUGUAAACUGCUUUUGUACGGAACGAAACGGCUCUGGUUAAUACCCGGGGCUAAUGACGGUACCGUAAGAAUAAGCACUGGCUAACUACGUGCCAGCCGCCGCGGUAAUAC
rnacentral:rRNA from 1 species